rnacentral:lncRNA from 1 species
CUGUCUCUUCCUGCACUUGGCUGUGGGCACCUUGAGGUGGCCCCUGCCCUGUCACCUUCAUGGUGGUGGGUGCCAGCUGCCAACCCACCAGCACAGUAACAGCUUGGAGGAGCCCCCACUCCCCUACCCCAUCCCUCAGAGCUCCAUGCCAAGGCUUCGGGGGUCCUGUGGAUCUGGGAAUGGCUGCUGGUGGAGGACCUGUGGUCCCUGCUCCUGAGAGGCUGGACAUCUAGAUCACCAGAAGCUGGAGAGAGAGGCUCGGAUCUGCCGCCUUCUGAAGCAUUCCAACAUCGUGCGUCUCCACGACAGCAUCUCCGAGGAGGGCUUCCACUACCUGGUCUUCGAUCUGGUCACUGGUGGGGAGCUCUUUGAAGACAUUGUGGCGAGAGAGUACUACAGCGAGGCUGAUGCCAGUCACUGUAUCCAGCAGAUCCUGGAGGCCGUUCUCCAUUGUCACCAAAUGGGGGUCGUCCACAGAGACCUCAAGCCGGAGAACCUGCUUCUGGCCAGCAAGUGCAAAGGGGCUGCAG